AUGGAGCGACCAAUGUCGGAACACCAGCAGGCAGUGAACAGGAUCAUCCGCUACGUAGCAGGGACCCUCGACCAUGGCCUCCACUACCCUAGGUGUCCGGGGCGGCACACUUCGUCGGGUACAGCGACAGCGACCGCGCCGGUGACAUCGACACCAGUAAGAGCACAAGCGGGAUCCUCUUCUUCCUUGCUCCUGGUGGACAGCAAGUCCGCCCUAGCCCUGGCAAAGAACCCCGUGUUCCACGAAUGGAGCAAGCACAUCCAACUGAGGUAUCACUUCAUCCGCAGCUGUGUGGAAGAAGGGAGCAUCGAGGCGAGCUACAUCAACACCACGGACCAGCUCGCAGACCUGCUCACCAAGCCUCUUGGGAGGGUCAUGUUCCUCGAGCUUUGCUCUAGGAUCGGGAUGAUUCAACUCUCCCAUAAUACGACGUACAAGACUUAG
rnacentral:rRNA from 1 species